AUGCCCCCGCGCCCAGAGUGGGGCCCGCCCCCAGUCCACCACCCCCACAUGGGCGGAGCGGGGCCUACCCCAUCGGCCCGACCUCAUCCCCUGGCGCUACAGCGGCCUGCAGCACAAGGCCAGCAAUUGGUGGGGUCGGGCCGAUGGGGUAGGCCCCGCUCCGCCCGUGUGGGGGUGGUGGGCUGGGGGCGGGCCCCACUCUGGGCGCGGGGGCAUCUUCUGGCGGGCUCCCUACGGACCGUGGGUCCUCGGGCUCUACUCUUUGUGGCCGACCCUCCCGCCGGGGGGAGUGUUUGCCCCUGGUUCUCAUGGGGCGGACAGCGUUGACCCCCGGUGGCCCACUCUGGCCUCGGGUGCUGUCUCUGUGGCUGCUGCAGCUCUGCCUGGGGGGCUCUGUGUGGGCGGCUUGGGUCGCAACACCUGCCCUCCUGGAACUGAAGGUGUGUGGGCUCCCUGGCUGCUAGGAUUCCUUCCUCUGCUUGCUGGAUGGGCGUAGUGGCGGAGCCCCUCACAUCACCCUGGCUUCCACAAGUGGCAUUGUUCAUGCACCAACGUCUGCCUCACCCUUUGGGUGAAUAAUGAUAAGCUACAGCCUUACUAACCUUGUAGUGGGACACUUUCCAAAUCCAACUGUAAGUAUUAUUGAUACUUAUCACUACCGAUAUGAAUAAUGUGUGAAUAUGGAAUUUGUGGUGUUGUAUGUCAUGACUUUUAUUAAGUAGUAUGGGAUAUGUAUAAUAAUGCACAUAUGUAUGUAUAUUGUAUGUAUAUGUUUGUAUUAGUAUGUGCACAUACCUUAGCACUAUUAUUGGUAUUAGUAUUAAUCUCCAAGGUAAACCACAGUACAAAAAUUGUUUAGUUAUGAAUGUGUUAGCCUAAGGUACAUCCAUGCUUCUUAUUUAUUUAUUUUUUUGCUCCGAUUGUUUACUUAACAGAUUUGCUUGGUUUCAGCAGCUGGUUGCACCCCUUAUCCCCCCUCCCCCCCACCCUCCGGCAUACACACCCUAAAGCAGAAACCUAACCUGUCCACCAACACAGCAACAUCACACACAUUUUGGAUUAGCUAAAUGAACCAUUAAAUAAAAAAAAAAAAAAAAAAAAAAAAAAAAAAAAA
rnacentral:lncRNA from 1 species